UGGAGCCAAAUGUCCUUAUUUUUUUAUAUUGUUUUUAUUUUAUUUUCUCUAAUUAAUUGCUGGCCUCAGUUCAUGUUCAGUUUCCUUUUCCGCAGAUUGCUCCGCCCACUUCCUUUUGAGAACCAGGAAGUGUCAACAGGGGUGGAACUGUUGCAAUGGUGUGGUUACCAUGGUAGCCUAUUUAAAUUGGGUCCAGGUGUGAGCACACAGGGCGAUUGGAAGACAAACAGUUUUCGACCUUGUCGUGUCGUGCCUUGCCGUGACAUGACGUGAGUUGUUGUGACAAUGCUGUAUCAAUAUGCCAGCCAAGGGAAGGUGUUCAGCCCUAGGCCGGGCUGUUUCGCCUCGUUUGGACCAGGAGACGGGAGGACAGUGGACGGGAUCGUUUCGGGCCAGGAGCAACGCAGCGGCAGGCAGACAGAGGAUGCCGCGCUGAUCGAACAAAAGCCACGGCGGCUGCGGCCCUCACCGUUUUGAAUGACAGCUGAGCAGCGCUGGGACACGCAACGCUGUUUGAAGUUUUGUACUCUUUUUGAAGAUAUUGAACUCUUUUGGAAGAAAAUCUUUUGAAGACAAUAACAGAGUCACGGGCCAGCAUCAAGUAAAGGUAUGUAGCGCGCUACAGGGGUUAAUAUAUGGCCAUAUAACAGUGUGUGCACACAGACAAGCAACAAAAAAAUCCAAUGCAUUGGUGGUUAAUAUUUAUUGUUAUUGAACCCGUUAGUGGGUAUUUUCUAUGAGGUUUUGUGCAUGAUUGCAACCCGUUGGUGGGUACAUUUCAAAUACAUGGUGGUGUUUUAUGAUACCAUGUGCAAGCCCGUUCGUGGGUGAGGUUUUGGUUUGAACAAAUGCAAAUGAACAAUU